GCCAGCAUGGCAUAGUGGUUUGUGUGUUGGACUAUGACUCUAGAGACCAGGAUUUGAUUCCCAAUUCGGUCA
rnacentral:tRNA from 1 species